rnacentral:misc_RNA from 1 species
GAUGAAGAACGUAGCGAAAUGCGAUAAGUAGUGUGAAUUGCAGAAUUCAGUGAAUCAUCGAAUCUUUGAACGCACAUUGCGCCCUUCGGUAUUCCGUUGGGCAUGCCUGUUCGAGCGUCAUUUAAACCUUCAAGCUAUGCUUGGUGUUGGGUGUUUGUUCCGCCUCUGCGCGUGGACUCGCCUUAAAAUAAUUGGCAGCCGGCGUAUUGAUUUCGGAGCGCAGUACAUCUCGCGCUUUGCACUCAUAACGACGACGUCCAAAAGUACAUUUUUACACUCUUGACCUCGGAUCAGGUAGGGAUACCCGCUGAACUUAAGCAUAUCAAUAAGCGGAGGA